rnacentral:rRNA from 1 species
AUUGAACGCUGGCGGCAGGCCUAACACAUGCAAGUCGAACGGUAACAGGAAGACGCUUGCUUCUUUGCUGACGAGUGGCGGACGGGUGAGUAAUGUCUGGGAAACUGCCUGAUGGAGGGGGCUAACUACUGGAAACGGUAGCUAAUACCGCAUAACGUCGCAAGACCAAAGAGGGGGACCUUCGGGCCUCUUGCCAUCGGAUGUGCCCAGAUGGGAUUAGCUAGUAGGUGGGGUAACGGCUCACCUAGGCGACGAUCCCUAGCUGGUCUGAGAGGAUGACCAGCCACACUGGAACUGAGACACGGUCCAGACUCCUACGGGAGGCAGCAGUGGGGAAUAUUGCACAAUGGGCGCAAGCCUGAUGCAGCCAUGCCGCGUGUAUGAAGAAGGCCUUCGGGUUGUAAAGUACUUUCAGCGGGGAGGAAGGGAGUAAAGUUAAUACCUUUGCUCAUUGACGUUACCCGCAGAAGAAGCACCGGCUAACUCCGUG